GUACAGAGCAGAGUGACACGUUGUGAGGACUGGAUGUGAGGACGAUCUCAGAAAUCUUUCUCUAAAACGGAGUGACACGUUGUCAGUGCUGGAUGUGAGGAUGGGACACACUUUGCUUCAUGUGCUGGGAUUAUUGUAUGCUGCAGUUGUUGCUUCCUGGUAUGAAGUUGAAGUCUUUGUCUGAAGCAGAGUGACACGUUGUCAUUCACUGUUUCUCUUCAUAGACUGCAGUUCCAAGUUUCUCUUGAUACAAACAGGAAGUAUUUCUCAGGUACAACAACAGAGUGUCAGUGCUGGAUGUGAGGAUGGGACACACUUUUCUGUGUGUGCUGUUGUUGACCUUGUUGGAUACACUCCCCUACUGUGGACAUGCUCAAG